rnacentral:rRNA from 1 species
AUUGAACGCUGGCGGCAGGCCUAACACAUGCAAGUCGAGCGAGCGGCGGACGGGUGAGUAAUGUCUGGGAACAUGCCUGAUGGAGGGGGAUAACUACUGGAAACGGUAGCUAAUACACCAUAACAUCUGCGGUGCCCAGAUGGGAUUAGCGAGUAGGUGGGGUAACGGCUUACCUAGGCGACGCUCCCUAGCUGGUCUGAGAGGAUGACCAGCCACACUGGAACUGCGACACGGUCCAGACUCCUACGGGAGGCAGCAGUGGGGAAUAUUGCACAAGGGGCGCAAGCCUGAUGCAGCCAUGCCGCGUGUGUGAAGAAGGCCUUCGGGUUGUAAAGCACUUUCAGCGGGGAGGCGUUACCCGCAGAAGAAGCACCGGCUAACUCCGUGCCAGCAGCCGCGGUAAUUC